rnacentral:tRNA from 1 species
UCCCUGGCAGUUCAGUGGUAAGGAUGCUGUGCUUCCACUGCAGGGAACCCAGGUUUGACCCCUGGUCUGGGAA